AAGUCGUAACAAGGUUUCCGUAGGUGAACCUGCGGAAGGAUCAUUAUCACGUAUCCAAACGUAUAAACCCAAUGUGCACCUCAAUCAUCCUCCUACGGAUACAAGAAGUGGCAGAGAAGUUGAUAUUUCGAUUCAUGGUCUUUCGAAAUUCUCUGUCUAGUUUUUCUAGCUUUCGGGCUUUUGAACUGCCUUCUAAUCCGGGAGUCGUAUCAAACCAUGCUUGUUUUUACUAUAACAACUUGUACCUUUCUGAACUAACUUUGGUUUUCUAACUCGGAAUCUCUCCGGAGACUCUUUGGUAGGAACCUUGAUUUAUACAAACUCUGAACUACUCUUAACAACGGAUAUCUUGGUUCUC
rnacentral:misc_RNA from 1 species